GUAGGCGGCUUAAUAAGUGAAUAGUGAAAUCUGGUGGCUCAACCAUACAGACUAUUAUUCAAACUGUUAAGCUCGAGAAUGGUAGAGGUAACUGGAAUUUCUAGUGUAGGAGUGAAAUCCGUAGAUAUUAGAAGGAACACCAAUGCGUAGGCAGGUUACUGGACCAUUUCUGACGCUAAGGCACGAAAGCGUGGGGAGCGAACCGGAUUAGAUACCCGGGUAGUCCACGCCGUAAACGAUGGAUACUAGCUGUUGGAGGUAUCGACCCCUUCAGUAGCGAAGCUAACGCGUUAAGUAUCCCGCCUGUGGAGUACGGCCGCAAGGCUAAAACAUAAAGGAAUUGACGGGGACCCGCACAAGCGGUGGAUUAUGUUCUUUAAUUCGAUGAUAACCGAAGAACCUUACCAGGGUUUGAAAUCCCGAGAAUUAAUCCGAAAGGAUUGAGUGCUUUAUUGAACUCGGUGACAGAUGUUGCAUGGCCGUCGUCAGCUCGUGUCGUGAGAUGUUUGGUUAAGUCCAUCAACGAGCGCAACCCUCGUCAGUAGUUGUAUUUUUCUACUGAAACUGCCCCGGCAACGGGGAGGAAGGAGGGGAUGAUGUCAGGUCAGUAUUACUCUUACAUCCUGGGCUAGAAACGUAAUACAAUGGCUGGUACAAUGCGUCGCGAAGCCGCGAGGUGAAGCAAAUCGCAUCAAAGCCAGUCCCAGUUCGGAUUGGAGGCUGAAACUCGCCUCCAUGAAGUCGGAAUCGCUAGUAAUCGCAGAUCAGCAAGCUGCGGUGAAUACGUUCCCGGGUCUUGUACACACCGCCCGUCAAACCAUGAAGGUGACCAACACCCGAAGUCCGAUUCGUCGGCCUAAGGUGGGGGGCAUGAUUGGGGUU
rnacentral:rRNA from 1 species